CGGCGGCGGCUAUACAUGCAGUCGAACGAACUUCCGUUAAUUGAUUAUGACGUACUUGUACUGAUUGAGAUUUUAACGCGAAGUGAGUGGCGAACGGGUGAGUAACACGUGGGUAACCUGCCCAGAAGUAGGGGAUAACACCUGGAAACAGAUGCUAAUACCGUAUAACAGAGAAAACCGCAUGGUUUUCUUUUAAAAGAUGGCUCUGCUAUCACUUCUGGAUGGACCCGCGGCGUAUUAGCUAGUUGGGGAGGUAAAGGCUCACCAAGGCAGUGAUACGUAGCCGACCUGAGAGGGUAAUCGGACACAUUGGGACUGAGACACGGCCCAGACUCCUACGGGAGGCAGCAUUAGGGAAUCUUCCACAAUGGACGCAAGUCUGAUGGAGCAACGCCGCGUGAGUGAAGAAGGGUUUCGGCUCGUAAAGCUCUGUUGUUAAAGAAGAACGUGGGUAAGAGUAACUGUUUACCCAGUGACGGUAUUUAACCAGAAAGCCACGGCUAACUACGUGCCAGCAGCCGCGGUAAUACGUAGGUGGCAAGCGUUAUCCGGAUUUAUUGGGCGUAAAGCGAGCGCAUGCGGUCUUUUAAGUCUAAUGUGAAAGCCUUCGGCUCAACCGAAGAAGUGCAUUGGACACUGGGAGACUUGAGUGCAGAAGAGGACAGUGGAACUCCAUGUGUAGCGGUGAAAUGCGUAGAUAUAUGGAAGAACACCAGUGGCGAAUGCGGCUGUCUGGUCUGCAACUGACGCUGAGGCUCGAAAGCAUGGGUAGCGAACACGAUUAGAUACCCUGGUAGUCCAUGCCGUAAACGAUGAUUACUAAGUGUUGGAGGGUUUCCGCCCUUCAGUGCUGCAGCUAACGCAUUAAGUGAGUCCGCCUGGGCGAGUACGACCAGCAAUGGUUGAAACUUCAAAAGGAGUUGACGGGGGCCCCGCACAAAGCUGGUGGUGUCAUGUGGAAUUUAAUUCGAAGCAUACGUCGAAAGAAGCCUUUACCAUGCUCUUUGACAUCUUCUGACAGUCUACGAGACUCUAUACGUUCACCUUACUGGGGCACAGGAAUGGACAUGGUUGGUGCAUCGACUUGUCGUUCAAGCUACGAUGUCGUGGAGUAAUGUUUGGCGGCUCUAACAGU
rnacentral:rRNA from 1 species